CAUCGCUGAAUGCGGAGAAAUACAACAUAUUUAAAAAUGUAAUCUCCAUCAUCUGAUAUGUCAAAGUGGUUAUGUUCCUGGUAUGGAAUAAAGUUAUUUCUAAUAUGAAUUUAUGUCAUUUGUUAAUUCUAAUAGGCUAACAACCAGUAUCUUCUAUACAAAAGAUUCGGUUCUCAAGCUGGCAUUCUAUCUCAAAGAAAUAAGCAGACAAAGAGUAGAGGUGCCUUGAGGCAGAAUACUUCUAUCAAAUGGACUUUGGUACAGAAUAACUGCUAGCUUAUCCAUGGUACUGAACUUUAAAAACCAGCCACACUUCCAAGGCACCAUUUCUUCUGACAUUCUCAGAACAGUAAAAGUGUUCUGCUGAAACGAAGAAAAUAUAAAACUUCCUCCAAAAUAAGAAAUUUUAUCCUGGAGCAAGGCACUUCUCCCACACACAAUGAUUCAUAUAAUCAGUUUGACAAAGUGCUUUGCAAAUGUAGCUCACUACAUAUUAUACAGACAGACUGAAGUCUGGAUACCUUGUGCCAACCACGAUGUCACCAUUGUCUAACACACAGCAGCUCCAAACAGACUGAGCUGGAAGUCUGAUUAUCUGAGCACAUUCCCCUCGUUUCCAGAUCCUAAGUGACCUGUCCUCUCCAGUGGUUACGAAAUCUGAAAAAAAAAAAAAAAAAAUAUAUAUAUAUAUAAGUUUAAUAUAACAAACAAAGAUAAAAAGGUACAAAGUACCUUCCUGCAGGUAAAUACUUAACAAUUAAAUACUUCUUGUGUCUCCUUAAAGAGGCCUACAGGGAAAGAAGGAUAAAAUAGUCAUUACUCAUUCUUCUUUCUGAAAAAAGUGUUCAAGUGUGUAAACUGGUGGGCUGAUCCACUAGCCGGUGAAGGUGAAAUUAUGCUCUAAAACAGCACAGUUCCAGUUUCCUUCUCAGGGGUUUAACAACAAAAAAAAGCCAAAAAAAGCCAAAAUAAUCUCACCAUCAUCAGGUCAUUGUCUUCCCCUGGGUCUGCAAGACUUCAGUCUUCACAGCCCUCCCUAGUGGAGGCUUUCUGCCAGCUGGCUCCUGCCUCCUACAGGUGUCCCCUUUGAAGGCCUUACAGGUGCAAGAAAGUCCUCUUCUAGAUUCUUCCCAAACCCUGGGCCUCUCCCAUCUGCCCACAAGGCAGGAAACCUCAUAUGCUAUUUUCUGUUGAGCACAUAACUAGGAGAAACAUGCGACCCGCUACUACAGCUGUCAGUUUUAAAGAGUACAAGUACUGUAACAAAUGCACUGAGACAUGUGCAUGCACCCCUGAGGCCCCACGCUCUGUUACAGUGCUUUUGGAGCUUUACUUUUCACCAAGUGUGCAAACAUUCUAUACAUCAUAGAAAGGUCUUAUGAUUAACACACAAACCUGAGAAUCAACUUCUUCUGUGACCUUGGGCAAAUAACAGUCCUGAGACUCUGUUUUCACAUCUAACUCUCUGAUAUGUAAUGAAGAUUACAUAAUUAACAUUUGCAGCAUGCUCCGAGAUCCUUCUGCAGAAGUUGCUACAGGAAUAGUAAGCAUUUUCUCUAAGACUAUUGCUAUAUACAAGUAUCAUUUUUGCAUUAUGCUAGGAUACUGAUAGGCAGACGGCAACCCGGGCUGAGUUCCUGGCCCUGUUGAAGUCAAUGGGAGUUCUGCCAUUGACUUGGGUGGGCCGGGAUUUCACCUGAUUCCCAGGACCUUUUGGAUCAUAUCUAUUUUCUGAGCAAUUUUGAACCCAGAUGUUCAAGAACGUUUCUCCUCCAGUGACAUGUUAAUUGUCCAAACAGAAAAAUACAGAAAAUAUAAUCCGAGUUCUUUCAUCAGCUUUCUAUAAUGGUACCAGAACUACCAUUCAUUUUGAAAAGCUAUUUUACUUUGGAAGUAAAGUCUUACCUUUACAAUGAGGGAAGACCGAUAUGCUGUAUAUAUAAUUUGUAUGUCCGUAAUAAAUUUGAAGACACUCGCCCGAGAUCUGCCACCUUCGAAUACUCGCAUCAUUAGCACACGAAAGAAAUUCUGUGUCACUUAAAAUUGCUAAACCUCUCACACAAUCUUCGUGUCCUUUAUAAAGGAAAGAAAAAGGUUUUAUGAACAACCAAAUAUUGUUUUCAGCAGCAGCAGCUUAACACACCAAUAUCUUAUUUUGCAAUUUCUUUAUCCUAGAAACUGAUGUUUAAUAAAAAUCCAGUUUUAAAAAAAAAUUCCUUUGCUUAGCACUUUCUGAAAAUCAGGCCUCUUUAACGUGUCUCAAGUUGGGUACCCAAAAAUCACUAGCCACUUUUCAAAAAUCUUGGUCUAAAUAUUAAGUUACUUGAAUCCAUGAAAUUUUCACAAACAGGAAGUUGAUUUACAAAGAUGUCAAAUUAGAAAAUACUCUCCAUUUUACCCAAAUACUUACCAGUGAAUGUUCUCUCGCAUCUGCCGGCUUUCCAUAGAUUAAUAGUUUUGUCAGCUGAACCAGUCAACAUUAAUCCCUGUUCAGGCAAUAUCUUCACUGCCCAUACUGCAGCUGUAUGACCCUGUGAACAAGAACAGUGUUACAAUAGCUAGAGAACAACUGAAUUUACAAAGCUGUUCAAUUAAUCAUUGGAUAUACUCAUGAAGAACUACUAUACCUGCAAUGUCAUCAUGCAUUUGUCAUUCAACCAGACUUUAGCCGUCGUAUCCCAUGAGCCACUAAGCAAUGUGCCAAAUUUCCCAGAUGAAAGGCUGCAAACUGGAACAAAUAUUCAAAUCAGCAUUGACACAUUCCUAUCCUCUGCCCCUUUCUUAUUCCAGUAACAUAUGGAAGGAGAUUUUUCUUAUGUUGCAGCAUAUAUUCAUGGAAUGCAAUUUUUUUUUAAAGUUGUUUCCAGGGCAAGCUUUUGGGCUUUUCCUCUUCUACUCUGGAAAGGGAAUUUAGCAUGCUUGCAGUCACAGUGCUAACUAGAACUUAAUGCUUCAGAGGACAUCUCUGUAACACAGCGGACCAUUGGAGCUGGCUGGCAAACGGUUCACUGUUCUAUAACAGCAACUCCUAGCAGGCCGGACUAACUCACUACACCUAGCACACAGCUUUCAUGGUAUUUAUCCAUAAAUGAUGUCAUGUAAGAGCUUAAAUGAAAAAAGCAUCACGCUGAUUAUUAACAUCAUUGUGAAAUAUAUGUAUAAUGAAAACAUAUUCCUAAAGUCUGAAUCUAGACAGGGCUCACAAACAGGUUUCUGCCAGACAGACAAAGGAUGUAUAUUCACCUGUCUCG